rnacentral:tRNA from 1 species
UGGGUUGUGGCUCAGCGGAAGGGCGCUCGCCUAGCAUGUGUGAGGCCCUGAGUUCGAUCCUCAAUACCAUAU